UCCCAUAUGUUCUAGUGGCUAGGAUACCUGGCUUUCACCCAGGAGGCUCGGGCUCAAUUCCCGGUAUGGGAA
rfam:Daphnia pulex DAPPTscaffold_378_Cont9170, whole genome shotgun sequence.